rnacentral:rRNA from 1 species
GACGAACGCUGGCGGCGUGCUUAACACAUGCAAGUCGAACGGAAAGGCCCUGCUUUUGUGGGGUGCUCGCGUGGCGAACGGGUGAGUAACACGUGAGUAACCUGCCCUUGACUUUGGGAUAACUUCAGGAAACUGGGGCUAAUGCCGGAUAGGAGCUCCUGCUGCAUGGGGGGGGUUGGAAAGUUUCGGAGGGUUGGGAUGGACUCGCGGCUUAUCAGCUUGUUGGUGGGGGAGUGGCUAAGGAAGGCUUUGACGGGUAGCCGGCCUGAGAGGGUGACCGGCGACAUUGGGACUGCGAUACGGCCCAGACUCCUACGUGAGGCAGCAGUGGGGAAUAUUGCACAAUGGGCGGAAGCCUGAUGCAGCAGCGCCGCGUGCGGGAUGACGGCCUUCGGGUUGUAAACCGCUUUCGCCUGUGACGAAGCGUGAGUGACGGUACUGGGUAAAGAAGCACCGGCUAACUACGUG